rnacentral:rRNA from 1 species
GACGAACGCUGGCGGCGUGCUUAACACAUGCAAGUCGAACGGAAAGGCCCUGCUUGCAGGGUACUCGAGUGGCGAACGGGUGAGUAACACGUGGGUGAUCUGCCCUGCACUUCGGGAUAAGCUUGGGAAACUGGGUCUAAUACCGGAUAGGAGCCAUCUUUAGUGUGGUGGUUGGAAAGUUUUUUCGGUGUAGGGUGAGCUCGCGGCCUAUCAGCUUGUUGGUGGGGUAAUGGCCUACCAAGGCGGCGACGGGUAGCCGGCCUGAGAGGGUGUACGGCCACAUUGGGACUGAGAUACGGCCCAGACUCCUACGGGAGGCAGCAGUGGGGAAUAUUGCACAAUGGGCGCAAGCCUGAUGCAGCGACGCCGCGUGGGGGAUGAAGGCCUUCGGGUUGUAAACUCCUUUCGCUAGGGACGAAGCUUUGUGUGACGGUACCUAGAUAAGAAGCACCGGCUAACUACGUG